rnacentral:rRNA from 1 species
UGGCAUGCACCUCCUCUCAGCUCGUCUGGCAAGACCUUAAAUCUGGCCUUCACACUGCUGUCGCUCCCGGUGAGAUUUCCAGCGUUGACUCCAAUUAAACCGCAAGCUUCACCCCUUGUGGUGCUCCCCCGCCAAUUCCUUUAAGUUUCAAUCUUGCGAUCGUACUCCCCAGGCGGCAGGCUUAACAGCUUCCCUGCGGCACUAGAACGGCACGUGGCCGUCCAAACACCUAGCCUGCAUCGUCUACAGCUGGGACUACCCGGGUAUCUAAUCCGGUUCGCUCCCCCAGCUUUCAUCCCUCACCGUCGGGCGCGUUCUAGCAGACAGCCUUCGCCACUGGUGGUCUUCCCGGGAUUAUAGGAUUUCACCCCUACCCCGAAAAUAUCGUCUGCCUCUCUCGUCCCCUAGCCAAGCAGUAUCCCCCGCAAUCCAACGAUUAAUUCGGUGGAUCUAACAAAGGACUAACUUAGCCAGCUACGGAUGCUUUAGGCCCAAUAAACAUCCACACCACUCGGAGAGCUGGUAUUACCGCGGCGGCUGACACCAGACUUGCCCUCUCCUUAUUCCCCCAGCGUUCUAGACUGGGUAAAAGCUUCCUCAGCGGAUGGCACUCGGGAUAGCCUGUCAGCUUCGCUAUUGAAAGUUUCGCAUG